rnacentral:rRNA from 1 species
CAGUCGCCACGGUAAUACGUAGGUGGCAAGCGUUGUCCGGAAUUAUUGGGCGUAAAGCGCGCGCAGGUGGUUUAAUAAGUCUGAUGUGAAGGCCCACGGCUCAACCGUGGAGGGUCAUUGGAAACUGUUAAACUUGAGUGCAGGAGAGAAAAGUGGAAUUCCUAGUGUAGCGGUGAAAUGCGUAGAGAUUAGGAGGAACACCAGUGGCGAAGGCGGCUUUUUGGCCUGUAACUGACACUGAGGCGCGAAAGCGUGGGGAGCAAACAGGAUUAGAUACCCCAGUAGUCCCUGUCUCUUAUAC